rnacentral:rRNA from 1 species
UUAUUAACAGAAGUUAAUAAGGGAAAGAUUUAUUGGUAAGAGAUUAGCCUGUAUUGUAUCAGUUAGUUGGUGGGGUAAUGGCUUACCAAGACUAUGACACAUAACUGGUUUGAGAGGAUGAUCAGUCACACUGGAACUGAGACACGGUCCAGACUCCUACGGGAGGCAGCAGUGGGGAAUAUUGCACAAUGGACGAAAGUCUGAUGCAGCAACGCCGCGUGGAGGAUGACACAUUUCGGUGCGUAAACUCCUUUUAUAUGAGAAGAUAAUGACGGUAUUAUAUGAAUAAGCACCGGCUAACUCCGUGCCAGCAGCCGCGGUAAUACGGGGGGUGCAAGCGUUACUCGGAAUCACUGGGCGUAAAGAGCAUGUAGGCGGAUUAAUAAGUUUGAAGUGAAAUCCUAUAGCUUAACUAUAGAACUGCUUUGAAAACUGUUAAUCUAGAAUGUGGGAGAGGUAGAUGGAAUUUCUGGUGUAGGGGUAAAAUCCGUAGAGAUCAGAAGGAAUACCGAUUGCGAAGGCGAUCUACUGGAACAUUAUUGACGCUGAGAUGCGAAAGCGUGGGGAGCAAACAGGAUUAGAUACCCUGGUAGUCCACGCCCUAAACGAUGUACACUAGUUGUUGUGAGACUUGAUCUUGCAGUAAUGCAGUUAACACAUUAAGUGUACCGCCUGGGGAGUACGGUCGCAAGAUUAAAACUCAAAGGAAUAGACGGGGACCCGCACAAGCGGUGGAGCAUGUGGUUUAAUUCGACGAUACACGAAGAACCUUACCUGGACUUGACAUAGUAAGAACUUUCUAGAGAUAGAUUGGUGUCUGCUUGCAGAAACUUAUAUACAGGUGCUGCACGGCUGUCGUCAGCUCGUGUCGUGAGAUGUUGGGUUAAGUCCCGCAACGAGCGCAACCCUCGUGUUUAGUUGCUAACAGUUCGGCUGAGAACUCUAAACAGACUGCCUACGCAAGUAGGAGGAAGGUGAGGACGACGUCAAGUCAUCAUGGCCCUUACGUCCAGGGCUACACACGUGCUACAAUGGGAUAUACAAAGAGCGGCAAUACGGUGACGUGGAGCAAAUCUUAUAAAAUAUCUCCCAGUUCGGAUUGUAGUCUGCAACUCGACUACAUGAAGUUGGAAUCGCUAGUAAUC